CCUGGUUGAUCCUGCCAGUAGUGAUAUGCUUGUCUCAAAGAUUAAGCCAUGCAUGUCUGAGUACAGACCGAUCUAAGGUGAAACCGCGAAUGGCUCAUUAAAUCAGUCAUAAUUCCUUGGAUAGUGAAAAAAUUUCCUCGGAUAACUGUGGAAAAUCCAGAGCUAAUACGUGCGACUGAGCUCCGACCUAGGCGCGAGCCUUGGGAAGAGCGCAUUUAUUAGAUUCAAAACUGACCGGCGUACUCCUCCGGGAUGCGCCGUUUGUCGAAAGUUUGAUGACUCCGGAUAACUUAGCCGAGCGCUACGGUCUUAGUACCGGCGCCGUAUCUUUCAAGUGUCUGCCUUAUCAGCUUUCGAUUGUAGGUUAAACGCCUACAAUGGCUGUAACGGGUAACGGGGAAUCAGGGUUCGAUUCCGGAGAGGGAGCCUGAGAAACGGCUACCACAUCUAAGGAAGGCAGCAGGCACGCAAAUUACCCACUCCCAGCCCGGGGAGGUAGUGACGAAAAAUAACGAUGCGAGACUCUUCCGAGGCCUCGCAAUCGGAAUGAGUCCAUUUUAAAUCCUUGGACGAGGAUCCAUUGGAGGGCAAGUCUGGUGCCAGCAGCCGCGGUAAUUCCAGCUCCAAUAGCGUAUAUUAAAGUUGCUGCGGUUAAAAAGCUCGUAGUUGGACUUCCUAGAUCCAUUUCGCGAGCGWGUCGCUCGUUGAGCUAGCGUUUCGCGUCAGUCACUCGACGACGUCGGUAGCUCGGUUGUGUACGGGGCCGGCAUUUCGUUAUCAGGGUCGCGUGUCGACGUUCGCAUUCGCUUCGCGGCGGUGCGGGCUCGUACGCGCCCUCUAUCGUGGUCGCGCUCUCUCUGCRCUCCGACUCCGUGCCGAGUCCCGCGGACGGCGAGACGUUGUCUUCGAGUAUCGCUCGUUCGCGUUUGGUACAAUUAAAAUUUUGUCGGCUCGCUCGGAGUGCUCUUCACCGAGUGUUCCAGGGUGGCCGACACGUUCACUUUGAAAAAAUUAGAGUGCUUAAAGCGGGGCUUAUACGUGGCCUGAAUGUCUGUGCAUGGAAUGAAGUAACAGGACCUCGAUUCUGUUUUUUUUGUCGGUUUUAUUGAACCGAGGUAAUGAUUAAAAGGGACAGACGGUGGCAUUAGUAUUGCGGCGCUAGAGGUGAAAUUCUUGGACCGCUGCAAGACUAACUACUGCGAAAGCGUUUGCCGAGAAUGUUUUCAUUAAUCAAGAACGAAAGUUAGAGGAUCGAAGGCGAUCAGAUACCGCCCUAGUUCUAACCCUAAACUAUGCUAACUAGCGAUCCGCCGGAGUCAUUCCCACGACCCGGCGGGAAGCCCCAGGGAAACCAAAGUCUUUGAGUUCCGGGGGAAGUAUGGUUGCAAAGCUGAAACUUAAAGGAAUUGACGGAAGGGCACCACCAGGAGUGGAGCCUGCGGCUUAAUUUGACUCAACACGGGAAACCUCACCAGGCCCGGACAUCAUAAGGAUUGACAGGUUGAGGGCUCUUUCUCGAUUUGAUGGGUGGUGGUGCAUGGCCGUUCUUAGUUGGUGGAGUGAUCUGUCUGGUUGAUUCCGAUAACGAACGAGACUCUACCCUAUUAACUAGUCGACGGGUUUUAACCUCUGAGACGGUCGGUUCGUAUAGGGCGGUUUUACGGAGACGCUGCGAUCUUGCGUCGGUUAGCUUCUUUCCUCGGGGCCUUUUCGCCAGCGUCGCCAUCGGCGGGUUGUGCGCUAUUGUGGUGCGUGUUCGCUCGUCUGCUCGCCAGGCGGGUGGAAGCGUGCUUCUAGCGCGCGAUUCGUUCGGAACGAUGCGAAGCGGGAGGUAUCAACCCGGGGGGAGCGCCGGCGUUCGGUUUCGCGUCGAAGUUUCCGUCUGAUUACGGCUACCGUGUGGGGGCGUCCGUCGCAAUAUAUCUUCUUAGAGGGAUCAGCGGCGUAUAGCCGCACGAGAAAGAGCAAUAACAGGUCUGUGAUGCCCUUAGAUGUUCUGGGCCGCACGCGCGCUACAAUGUAGAGACCAGCGUGCUUUCCCCCUCCGAAAGGAGCGGGUAACCCGUUGAAACCCCUACCCGAUUGGGAUUGGGGAUUGCAAAUAUUUCCCAUAAACGAGGAAUUCCCAGUAAGCGCGAAUCAUUAAUUCGCGCUGAUUACGUCCCUGCCCUUUGUACACACCGCCCGUCGCUACUACCGAUUGAAUGAUUCAGUGAGGGCAUCGGACUGGCGCCUUCGGUUUAGUAACAUAGACCUUAGGCUGACGGAAAGAUGUCCGAACUUGAUCAUUUAGAGGAAGUAAAAGUCGUAACAAGGUUUCCGUAGGUGAACCUGCAGAAGSAUCAA
rnacentral:rRNA from 1 species